CUUGUGAGUGGGUUUUCACAUGUCAUCGGGCUAGAAAUUUCUUCGGACCUGGCAACCCUGGAGAGCUUUCAGUUGACGUAGAACGCCUCCUGGCGGCUAUGUUGGAAGACUACUGCAUUAAUUAUUCUGACUACAGCCGAGGGGCUACCCCAAACUGAAUGAUAAAAGUGACUAGAACUAGUUGAUUCAUCACCACGGUCAUUUUCUGUGGAGUAUAUGGCUGCUCAAACGAGGCCGGAAACACAAAGGGGGGAAAAGAUGUUUACAGAUUCCCCGCAAUCAUGAAACACCAUUGGCAAUACCAAUGAGAUAAGACUCAAGAACUCAGAGAAGCGAAGAAACCUUUUUGCCCGUCAAGACCUCAACCCAGACAGCUGUCAAUACAGGGUUUGCUACGAUCAUUUCAUCAUUGAGAACACUUCAAAAUGAGAAGAUCCUGCCAUGGAAAAGAAGACUGGGUGGACAUAACGUGUAAAGGAGGGGAAAUAACUCAUAACAUGCAGCAGGACACCUUCAGCUGUGGGGUCUUUGUAAUAUGGCCAAGGAAGUUGCACAGAACUUCCCCAACAUCCCCUUCCAAAUUGAUAUGGAACCUUCAAAAGCACAUGGAGCAACUGCGGAAAGAAAUGGCUGAGGAUAGACAAAAAAUGUCUGAGUUCAACAAAGCCAACAACUGCUUCAUGUGGGCCACUGAUAAAGAACCUGGAUGUGGCCCAAAGACUGACUGGUAGGUUCACCAGCUGACCUAUAUCAAGACACCCAGGUUGACUGGAUUCCCCCUGUGAAGAUGAGUAAUGCUGCAGCAGCAUCAGUUUCUACUACUUCAUCUUUUUCCAGACAUGAAAGAAGACUCCCCUCAGUUAUAUGACAUGGUUGUCAUAUGCUGUGCUUUGGACAAUUUGAAUGAUUCUGUUGUGUCAAUUGAGUAGAGCACCUUGUCAUGACAAAAGUGCCCCCUUAAACUGUAUGAAUAUAAUGUAUUUGGAACGUUUCAAAGACUUGUUGAUAUUGUAAACAUACUGUACUUUAAGCCAUAUUGUUGUCCAAGUGUAAAGACAAGUAUUUUGUCAUCUUUGCUUUGCCUAGCCCCAUUGAAUAAAAAGUAUUUCUUAUGGCCCAACUAUUGCCAUGUUCCUUGCUUUUCAGAAACGUGGUUCUCAAACAAGGUGCACCCCAUGGCUAUCCAACUCGAUGGAUUCUUCUUUCACCAGGCAGACAGGAUAGUGGAGUUGGUUCCGGUCAUUUUAAUUUGGCGUCACUAAAUCAAAAAGAUAUAUAAUUCACAUGCGCCAAAUACAACAGGUAUAGAUAGACCUUACAGUGAAAUGCUUACUUACAAGCCCUUAGCCAACAAUGCAGUUAGGAAAAAUAAGUGUUAAAGUAUUUACUGAAAUAAACUGAAGAAAAUAAUGAAUAAAAAAAUUGGUGCAACAAUAAAAUAACAUUAGUCAAGGUAAUAUGUACAUGUAGGUAGAGGUAAAGUGACUAUGUUUGUAUAAUAAACAGAGUAGCAGAAAAAGUUUGGCAUGGGCUCUCAAAUCCUGAAAAGGUUCUACAACUGUACCUUUGAGAGCAUAUGGACUGGCUGCAUCACUGCUUGGUAUAGCAAUAGCAUCGCCCUCGAUCGCAUGGCGCUACAGAGGGUUGUAUGGGCAGCCCAGUACAUCACUGAGGCCGAGCUCCCUGCCAUCCUGGACCUCCAUAUCAGGUGAAAGACCCCAACCACCCAUGCCAUAGAUUCUCUGCUGCAGCACAGCAAGAGCUUGAACAGCUUCUAUCCCCAAGCAAUACGACUGAUAAUUAGCUAACAAAAUUGCUACACGGACCAAGUUUACCUUGCAUCUUUAUUGACCUUUUAUUUCAGUGUUUUACACCGUCUAUGCACACUCACAGGGCCCUACACACUGUCACUCCAAAACAAACACUCCAUUUUCUCACUCACACAUAAUAUGCACAUACAUUUAUACAAGCUACACACCCACACGCUGCUGUUACUCUGUUUAUCUUAUAUCCUGUUGCCUAAUCACCUUACCCCUAUACAUAUCUACCUCUAUCACCCCAGUAUCCCUGCACAUGUAAAUAUGGUAUUGGAACAAACUUUUUAAAUAUUUCCUGUAUAUAGUAUGUUUGUUUACUUUAUUGUGUAUUUCAUAUUUCUUGUGUGCUUUUUUCUAGAAAUACAUUUGAUUAUUGCAUUGCUGGUUUUUGAGUUUGCAUUAAAGGCAUUUUACUGUGCAUGUGACAUUAA
ensembl:lncRNA